AUGUAGUAAAAGCUGUGAAGAAGCAGUUGCAGCAUAAGGAUCCAAAAGUUAAAUUCUUUACUUUGACGUUAUUGGAGACAAUGAUGAAGAACUGUGGUGAAUAUGUUCAUUUUGAAGUUGUUGAUCAGCAUGUUUUAUAAGAGAUUGUU